GUCACUUUCCAUCCCAAGGCCCCGAAUUCGUCCUCCGCACGCCGAUCUAUUCCUCUCCCGAUGCCUCUGCUCCCCACCUCCAUCGUCAUCGCGACCACUAAGGCCAUCGCUAUCUGUCCCCUCUCGCAUUUGUUCUUCCUCCGAUCGAUGCAUCCGCUCGUGGGGGCGCUGCUGGUGGGGGCCAGGGAGCGUUGGUGGUGGCCGUGCUAGGGCCCGACGGCGCGUCAUGCGGCGGCGUGGGAGGGCGCGCUAGAACUGGCCGUGUCGGUAGCGUCGUUCGCGCCGGAGACCAUGUUCGUGUGGGUGCUGGGCAGCGGCGGGUGCGCGGCCGGGUCGGUGCGCGUGCCGCUCGACGGCGGCGGGGACGAUACGAAUCUACUCCGCCUCCAGACAUCACUCCCUCCGCUCCUGCGGUCAUAUCUGAAGAUUUACCUACUAUUAUUUCUGAUGUUUCAUUCCCCAAGUCUAUGAUGCCUGAAACUUUAAAUGUUCUGUUUAGUCAUACUGUGGAUCAUGGCGAUUCAUGGAGAUCUUGUUGUGCCAUUUUCUUUUGCUGGCAUCUCAAGGUGAUAUUUUAGUGGCCACUUAAUUUAUAUAUUUUUCCAGUAUUGAUAUGCCAAAAAAAGCCUCAAUGGAAUGAAAGCUCUACGUCUUUUGUUGUAUUUUUGUAACAUAAGUUUAACAAUUAUAAUUUGCUAUGGGGCAGUAGGAGCCACUCAUUCUCCUCUUUUGUGAAUUUUAAGGUACACAUUGGACUAUCAUGUGUAUUUUGUUUGUUUUGGUUUCUUCUUAUGAUUUCUAUUUUGAUAUUCAUUCUCCUCUUUUGUGAAUUUUAAGGUACACAUUGGACUAUCAUGUGUAUUUCGUUUGUUUUGGUUUCUUCUUAUGAUUUCUAUUUUGAUAUGAAUAUUGAUGUUUAAACUCACAAGUAUCAUAUCCAAUUAUCCACUAUGUAUUGCAGAUAGCAAUAUUGAAUGGCUUUAGUAACAUUUCCCUUUUCAAGGCA